GGCGCGAUGGCAGAGUGGUUAUGCAGCGGAUUGCAAAUCCGUGUACCCCGGUUCGAUUCCGAGUCGCGCCUCCA
rnacentral:tRNA from 6 species